rnacentral:rRNA from 1 species
UACGUAGGGUGCAAGCGUUGUCCGGAAUUAUUGGGCGUAAAGAGCUCGUAGGCGGUCUGUCGCGUCUGCUGUGAAAACUCGGGGCUUAACCCCGGGCCUGCAGUGGGUACGGGCAGACUAGAGUGCGGUAGGGGAGACUGGAAUUCCUGGUGUAGCGGUGAAAUGCGCAGAUAUCAGGAGGAACACCAGUGGCGAAGGCGACUACCUGGCCUGUUCUUGACGCUGAGGCGCGAAAGCUAGGGGAGCAAACGGG